UGCGAAGGUAGCAUAAUCAUUAGCCUUUUGAUUUGAGGCUGGAAUGAAUGGUUUGACGAGAGAUGGUCUGUCUCUUCGAUUAAAUUGAAGUUAAUCUUUAAGUGAAAAAGCUUAAAUAUACUUGGAGGGCGAUAAGACCCUAUAGAUCUUUACAUUUAAUUCUUUUGUCUCGCGGUAGGUAAUUAGACAGAGUAAUAUAAUGUUCGGUUGGGGCGACGGUAAGAACAGAAUAAACACUUACAACAUAAAGACAUCAAUAAAUGAUCAUUGAUCCUUAGAUGAAUAAAGACCAAGUUACCUUAGGGAUAACAGCGUAAUUCUUUUUGAGAGUUCAAAUCGACAAAAGAGUUUGCGACCUCGAUGUUGGUUCAGGGAUCCUACUCGGUGCAGCAGCCUAGAGAGGCAGU
rnacentral:rRNA from 1 species